rnacentral:rRNA from 1 species
CAGCGGCGGACGGGUGAGUAAUGCCUAGGAAUCUGCCUGGUAGUGGGGGAUAACGUCCGGAAACGGGCGCUAAUACCGCAUACGUCCUGAGGGAGAAAGUGGGGGAUCUUCGGACCUCACGCUAUCAGAUGAGCCUAGGUCGGAUUAGCUAGUUGGUGGGGUAAAGGCCUACCAAGGCGACGAUCCGUAACUGGUCUGAGAGGAUGAUCAGUCACACUGGAACUGAGACACGGUCCAGACUCCUACGGGAGGCAGCAGUGGGGAAUAUUGGACAAUGGGCGAAAGCCUGAUCCAGCCAUGCCGCGUGUGUGAAGAAGGUCUUCGGAUUGUAAAGCACUUUAAGUUGGGAGGAAGGGCAGUAAGUUAAUACCUUGCUGUUUUGACGUUACCAACAGAAUAAGCACCGGCUAACUUCGUGCCAGCAGCCGCGGUAAUACGAAGGGUGC